CAGUAGCCGCGGUAAUACGUAGGGUGCAAGCGUUGUCCGGAAUUAUUGGGCGUAAAGAGCUCGUAGGCGGUUUGUCGCGUCUGCUGUGAAAUCCCGAGGCUCAACCUCGGGCUUGCAGUGGGUACGGGCAGACUAGAGUGCGGUAGGGGAGAUUGGAAUUCCUGGUGUAGCGGUGGAAUGCGCAGAUAUCAGGAGGAACACCGAUGGCGAAGGCAGAUCUCUGGGCCGUAACUGACGCUGAGGAGCGAAAGCGUGGGGAGCGAACAGGAUUAGAUACCCGCGUAGUCCCUGUCUCUUAUAC
rnacentral:rRNA from 1 species